rnacentral:rRNA from 1 species
AUACAGAGGGUGCAAGCGUUAAUCGGAUUUACUGGGCGUAAAGCGUGCGUAGGUGGUCUUUUAAGUCGGAUGUGAAAUCCCUGAGCUUAACUUAGGAAUUGCAUUCGAUACUGGGAGACUAGAGUAUGGGAGAGAAUGGUAGAAUUCCAGGUGUAGCGGUGGAAUGCGUAGAGAUCUGGAGGAAUACCGAUGGCGAAGGCGACUUACUGGACUGUAACUGACGCUGAGGCUCGAAAGCAUGGGUAGC